AUGCCAACACGAGCUUCUUCCAUCGGCAAUGCUCAUAUCGGCGUCAGAAGAACCGCAUUUAUAGCCUCGACGUCGACGGGCAGGUGCUCACGGACCAUGAGGAGAUGGCCAACGCCGCGUUCUCACACUUUGACGGCCUGCUGGGCACUGCUGCAGACCGGGCGCACACGCUGGACCUCUCUCAACUCAUCGCGCCCGGCGACCUCGCAUGCCUAG
rnacentral:rRNA from 1 species